UACAGAGGGGGCAAGCGUUGUUCGGAUUCAUUGGGCGUAAAGGGCGCGUAGGCGGCGGGGUAAGUCGGGUGUGAAAUCUCAGAGCUCAACUCUGAAACUGCACUCGAUACUGCUCUGCUUGAGGACUGGAGAGGAGACUGGAAUUCACGGUGUAGCAGUGAAAUGCGUAGAUAUCGUGAGGAAGACCAGUGGCGAAGGCGGGUCUCUGGACAGUUCCUGACGCUGAGGCGCGAAGGCCAGGGGAGCAAACGGG
rnacentral:rRNA from 1 species